UACAGAGGGGGGCAAGCGUUAUUCGGAAUUAUUGGGCGUAAAGGGCGCGUAGGCGGCAUCGCAAGUGGAAGGUGAAAUCCCUCGGCUUAACCGAGGAACUGCCCUCCAAACUGCGUUGCUUGAGGCCGGGAGCAGGGUGAGUGGAAUUCCCGAGUGUAGCGGUGAAUGACGUAGAUAUUGGGAGGAACACCGGUGGCGAAGGCGGCUCUCUGGGCCUUACCUGACGCUGAGGAGCGAAAGCGUGGGUAGCGAACAGG
rnacentral:rRNA from 1 species